rnacentral:rRNA from 1 species
AACCUUACCUACCCUUGACAUGUACGGAAUCAUGCUGAGAGGUGGGAGUGCUCGAAAGAGAACCGUAACACAGGUGCUGCAUGGCUGUCGUCAGCUCGUGUCGUGAGAUGUUGGGUUAAGUCCCGCAACGAGCGCAACCCUUGUCCUUAGUUGCUACGCAAGAGCACUCUAAGGAGACUGCCGGUGACAAACCGGAGGAAGGUGGGGAUGACGUCAAGUCCUCAUGGCCCUUAUGGGUAGGGCUUCACACGUCAUACAAUGGUCGUUUCUUAGGGCUGCCAAACCGCGAGGUGGAGCUACCCCAGAUUCCCCCUCUUCUCCGGAUCGCAGUCUGCAACUCGACUGCGUGAAGCUGGAAUCGCUAGUAAUCGCGG